rnacentral:rRNA from 1 species
GAUGAACGCUGGCGGCGUGCCUAAUACAUGCAAGUCGAGCGAACAGAUAAGGAGCUUGCUCCUUUGACGUUAGCGGCGGACGGGUGAGUAACACGUGGGUAACCUACCUAUAAGACUGGGAUAACUUCGGGAAACCGGAGCUAAUACCGGAUAACAUUUGGAACCGCAUGGUUCUAAAGUGAAAGAUGGUUUUGCUAUCACUUAUAGAUGGACCCGCGCCGUAUUAGCUAGUUGGUAAGGUAACGGCUUACCAAGGCAACGAUACGUAGCCGACCUGAGAGGGUGAUCGGCCACACUGGAACUGAGACACGGUCCAGACUCCUACGGGAGGCAGCAGUAGGGAAUCUUCCGAAAUGGGCGAAAGCCUGACGGAGCAACGCCGCGUGAGUGAUGAAGGGUUUCGGCUCGUAAAACUCUGUUAUUAGGGAAGAACAAAUGUGUAAGUAACUGUGCACGUCUUGACGGUACCUAAUCAGAAAGCCACGGCUAACUACGUG